rnacentral:rRNA from 1 species
GAUGAACGCUAGCUACAGGCUUAACACAUGCAAGUCGAGGGGCAGCAUGUUGGUUGCUUGCAACCGAUGAUGGCGACCGGCGCACGGGUGAGUAACGCGUAUCCAACCUGCCGUGUACUCCGGGAUAGCCCUCUGAAAGGAGGAUUAAUACCGGAUGUGGUCGGGUGAAGACAUCUUUGCCCGAUUAAAGAUUUAUCGGUACACCGAUGGGGAUGCGUACGAUUAGGUAGUCGGCGGGGUAACGGCCCACCGAGCCUUCGAUCGUUAGGGGUUCUGAGAGGAAGGUCCCCCACAUAGGAAUUGAGACACGGUCCUAACUCC